rnacentral:rRNA from 1 species
AGAGUUUGAUUCUGGCUCAGAUUGAACGCUGGCGGCGUGCUUAACACAUGCAAGUCGAACGUGAAAGUCCUUCGGGGCGAGUAAAGUGGCGCACGGGUGAGUAACGCGUGGAUAAUCUACCCUUAAGAUGGGGAUAACGGCUGGAAACGGUCGCUAAUACCGAAUACGCUCCCGAUUUUAUCAUUGGGGGGAAAGAUGGCCUCUGCUUGCAAGCUAUCGCUUAAGGAUGAGUCCGCGUCCCAUUAGCUAGUUGGCGGGGUAACGGCCCACCAAGGCAACGAUGGGUAGCCGGUCUGAGAGGAUGACCGGCCACACUGGAACUGGAACACGGUCCAGACUCCUACGGGAGGCAGCAGUGGGGAAUAUUGCGCAAUGGGCGAAAGCCUGACGCAGCGACGCCGCGUGAGGGAUGAAGGUUCUCGGAUCGUAAACCUCUGUCAGGGGGGAAGAAACCCCCUCGUGUGAAUAAUGCGAGGGCUUGACGGUACCCCCAAAGGAAGCACCGGCUAACUCCGUGCCAGCAGCCGCGGUAAUACGGAGGGUGCAAGCGUUAAUCGGAAUCACUGGGCGUAAAGCGCACGUAGGCGGCUUGGUAAGUCAGGGGUGAAAUCCCACAGCCCAACUGUGGAACUGCCUUUGAUACUGCCAGGCUUGAGUACCGGAGAGGGUGGCGGAAUUCCAGGUGUAGGAGUGAAAUCCGUAGAUAUCUGGAGGAACACCGGUGGCGAAGGCGGCCACCUGGACGGUAACUGACGCUGAGGUGCGAAAGCGUGGGUAGCAAACAGGAUUAGAUACCCUGGUAGUCCACGCUGUAAACGAUGAUUACUAGGUGUGGGGGGACUGACCCCUUCCGUGCCGCAGUUAACACAAUAAGUAAUCCACCUGGGGAGUACGACCG